GAGACUCUGUGCGCGUGCAUAUCAAUAAGCGGAGGAAAAGAAACUAACAAGGAUUCCCUUAGUAACGGCGAGUGAAGCGGGAAGAGCUCAAAUUUGAAAUCUUCAAGGUUCUACCUUGACGAAUUGUAGUUUAUAGAAGUGUUUUCUGUUAGUGGAGUGGCAAAAGUUCUUUGGAAUAGGACAUCAUAGAGGGUGAGAAUCCCGUAUUUGGUCAUUCCUCCUAGCGUUGUGAUACACUUUCAACGAGUCGGAUUGUUUGGGAAUGCAGUCCAAAAUGGGUGGUAAAUUUCAUCUAAAGCUAAAUAUUGGCGAGAGACCGAUAGCGAACAAGUACCGUGAGGGAAAGAUGAAAAGAACUUUGAAAAGAGAGUUAAACAGUACGUGAAAUUGUCAAAAGGGAAGCGUUUGACACCAGUGUUGUUUUUCCGAAAAUCAAUUACGAAUGUUUUGUUUUUAAGGAGUUAUGACUUACAUCGGCUUGCUUCUCUCUUUACGAAACUUUGCUUAAUGCACUCUUCGGUUAACAAGUCAACAUCAAUUUCUUUUGUUGUAAAAGGGUAUGAGGAAGGUGGCUUUCUUUUCGGAGAAAGUGUUUAUAGCCUUGUGCCUCUGCAAUCGGAGAGAUUGAGGUCUGCAGCGUAGAUCCUUCGGGGUUAGAUACGUUUGUGCUAAGUUAUAGCUUUUCAUAGACAACUUGUUGACUAUGUUUAGUCUUGUAGCUUACUCGCUGACGCUAUUUUACCUACGCUUAGGAUGUUGAAGAUGUAGCACAUCAU
rnacentral:rRNA from 1 species